AGUGAACGCUGGCGGUAGGCCUAACACAUGCAAGUCGAACGGCAGCACAGUAAGAGCUUGCUCUUACGGGUGGCGAGUGGCGGACGGGUGAGGAAUACAUCGGAAUCUACUUUUUCGUGGGGGAUAACGUAGGGAAACUUACGCUAAUACCGCAUACGACCUACGGGUGAAAGCAUGGGAUCUUCGGACCUUGCGCGAUUGAAUGAGCCGAUGUCGGAUUAGCUAGUUGGCGGGGUAAAGGCCCACCAAGGCGACGAUCCGUAGCUGGUCUGAGAGGAUGAUCAGCCACACUGGAACUGAGACACGGUCCAGACUCCUACGGGAGGCAGCAGUGGGGAAUAGUGGACAAUGGGCGCAAGCCUGAUCCAGCCAUACCGCGUGGGUGAAGAAGGCCUUCGGGUUGUAAAGCCCUUUUGUUGGGAAAGAAAAGCAGCAGGUUAAUACCCCGCUGUUCUGACGGUACCCAAAGAAUAAGCACCGGCUAACUUCGUG
rnacentral:rRNA from 1 species